rnacentral:tRNA from 1 species
GCCCGUGUAGCUCAGUUGGUAGAGCAUGGAGCUUGCAACGCCAGGGUUGUGGGUUCGGAUCCCACAGGGGACC